GGAGCAAACGCAGCCUCCAGAAACGACUGUGGAAAAGACUGCAAUGGGACAAAGUAUGACACACAAGAAGCUGCUUGCUGUGGAAACAAACUUUACCCAGGGGCGAGUCUGUCUUGUUGUGGAAAGGAACCUUACAAUCCUGAAAAAGCAACCUGUUGCAAAGUACAAGACGGAAACACUCUCAGAGCCAAUGUUACUCAUGGUCUGAGUGAAAAGGUGUCCAACUGCUGUGGGCUGAAGCCCUACAACCCUGUCAAUGAAGUAUGCUGUCAAUCAACCAUCACUGCAAAACCUGGACUAAUGGCUGAAUGUUGCGGUAAAGAGGCUUUUGCCAAGGACAAGCAAUUGUGUUGCGGUGCAAGUGAUAAUAAGAAGAUUCUGGUGAGAAAUUCCAGUUUCCACCGGUGCUGCGGGCACAACCAGUAUGAUAACAGGACUCAGUGCUGCUGUGAGAAUGAAGGUGUUCUGGAGGUACAACCGAAGGAUUCAUCUUGCUGUGACAAGAGCUCCACUACAGGAGUGCAUAAUGUAGGAAUUCUGCAUUGUGGUCCGAAUGAUAAUAAGAAGAGUCUGGUGAAGAAUUCCACUUUCCACCAGUGCUGCGGUCACAACCAGUAUGACAACAGGACUCAGUGCUGCUGUGUGAAUGAAGGUGUUCUGGAGGUACAACCGAAGCAUUCAUCUUGCUGUGACAAGAGCUCCACUACAGGAGUGCAUAAUGUAGGAAUUCUGCAUUGUGGUCCGAAUGAUAAUAAGAAGAGUCUGGUGAAGAAUUCCACUUUCCACCAGUGCUGCGGUCACCACCAGUAUGACAACAGGACUCAGUGCUGCUGUGAGAAUGAAGGUGUUCUGGAGGUACAACCGAAGCAUUCAUCUUGCUGUGACAAGAGCUCCACUACAGGAGUGCAAAAUGUGGGAAUUCUGCAUUGUGGUCCGAAUGAUAAUAAGAAGAGUCUGGUGAGGAAUUCCACUUUCCACCAGUGCUGCGGUCACCACCAGUAUGACAACAGGACUCAGUGCUGCUGUGAGAAUGAAGGUUUUCUGGAGGUACAACCGAAGCAUUCAUCUUGCUGUGCAAAGGAGUCAGCUAACCCUGAAGGUUUUCAACAACUGACACAUGAGCUCCAACACUUUUGCACUGAACCAAACACACAUCUCUGUGGGUCGACAUGUUACAAUCCAAAGACGCAUCGUUGCUGUGAGAGACACCAAAAGCCUUUUUGGUUCUGCGCCUCAGGUCAAAGCAAGGCCAGGGUGUAUGACCCACGUAUAGAAGUCUGCCGUGAUGGAUCCGUAUUUCAAUGCAAGCCGUGGCUAGAUCAAGUAAUGUACAAAUUGUUUUUUGGGUUUUUCUUUUCCUUUUCUGGGCCUGCCCAGCUGUUUGUGUUUUUUAAUCAGUGUAAAGUGCAAAGCUCAACAGUUUUAAUCUCCUUUUCUGUAGGAAAAUGAAAUCAAGCUUUCAAAUUAUGGCUAAAGCCUAAAGCACUGUUUCCUUAAAAAAACAAAAGGGAAAAACAUAUUAAUGGCAUUUUGGCGAGAUUUUUCAUUAAAGUUUUUGUUAUUAAAAAUGAAGGGCCUCAUGCUGCAAUGUUCAGUUUUACACAAAUAACUGACAGCAAUGGUACCUAGUGAUCCCAGACAAAAAAGGUUGUUUUUGUGCAGCUUCGAUGAGAGAGCUUAGAGCUCCACCCCGCUCCUCUUAUACAGUAACUGAGGGUGUUUUUCAAUCUGAUGUUUAAACUCGUCUAGCGGUGUUGGUUUUGGUUACCACUACUGCAAAAGGUCCAUAAAUCUGUUUUAUGGCAGCCCGGGACAACACUGCUGUGGGACGGAAAUUUACCGGCCUCGUACUGAGAUCUGCUGCAAUGGACACAGACACCCCAAAUCAGAAAACCUUCACUGCUGUGGGGUCAAAGCCUACAACAUUAAAGACCCACAGAUGAAGUGCUGUGCAGGAACACUGUACAAUCUGACAUCAUUAGACAAGCAUGGAGGGGACGCUCAGUGCUGCGGAUCCAUCCUGCAAAAGCCACAGGAUAUUUGCUGCUCAAGCCAGGAAAAAGAGGUGCUUUACUCUGUCAAGACAGGAUUUGGAUGCUGUGGUCACCUCUAUUACAACACCAGCCUGUGCUCAUGCUGUGCGGAGAGGCUGAGAAGAAUCCAUGAACCAGGAAAGGAUCAGAGAAACAUGAUGCAUGGAUCCAGACUUCUAUCUUUGAAUAAUCUAAACACAAGUGAUCUCUGCAAAGAAAUGUACAUUGGGACUGUGGAAAGUGUGUCUGUGAAGAGCGUUGUGUUCAGGAAUGUGCUAUGGGUUCAUGGGAAAUAUUCCAACGUGACAGCUCUGCCUUUGCAUCACAUCUUGGACAUAGAUGAUCACUGCAAAUCACCUAAACUGUUUCUUGGGAAGACCUACAUCUUUAACAACGUUAAUAUUUUCACUGAUUUCAACCAUGACUCUGUUCUUCAGUCGCUCCAUUUCAUUUUUUAUAAAUGUUCAUCUUAGAUCACCACUGUCUGAUCUAUGUAUGGUCAGUUAUUAGCUAUUCCCUUGUUUUUGUCUUAGAACAAGUAAUUAAUUUUUAUUUACUCAGUGCUGGUUUUCUUACUCUAAAAUAGUGCUACACUAAGAGUAAUGCAUAGGGGUUUUUUAUCCUCAGAAGAAUGUACUGUUAAAGUACUCAUUACAGGGAUGUUCUCUUACAUGGUCUAUUAACAAUAUAACACUGAACCUUAGAAAUGCCCAUUAAUUUGUAAAACUCUACCCUAAAAGGAAAGACCAUUGAAGCUUAACAUUUGGGCACUUUGCUGGUGUAAGCAUAAAAUCAAAGAACCAGCCAUAUUUCUAUCACACAUUUUAUUUUUACAUUAGUUAUUGUUGUGCAAGCACACAUGAAAAUGUUUUAAAAUGUGAUCUUUUUAAUCUUUUUGUUACCUAAAUAAUUGAAGAACAUGUAACUCAAUUGAAUUAAUUCAUUAACUGAAAUAUGUUUACUCAAUAAUGCAUUAUAGAAAAAAUUAACUUGAUUAGGGAUUGCAUUACUUUUCAACUGUUUAAAUUUAAAAAAUCCAGAAUUAGUUAUUAGUGAUAUUACUUACAAGUUGCUAUCAGUAAUGCAUUAAAUGUUCAACGCUCAUUUCCAUCCAAACCAUGUUGCUCUGUUUUUGAACGCAUCCCAAAAUGUGUGCUCGGUAAUUACUACUGUUACACAGCUAAUUAGUGCACAGUGUUGUUAACUUAUACAUGCAGUAAUGCAAUAUGACCAUUAUCUUUCAAAGUCUUAAAAAGCUAAAGUAGUAACUAGGAUAUCCAAGCUAGUGUUGGUUUGAAAUUAACAGUAGCUAACACCUUAGCUAUCAGUGUAACAGGAAGCAAGGCAUGCAAGAAUGUUAGCAUACAGCUUAACGGUCACAUAAGCUAAACUGCUAUCAGCUAAUAUUGUUUGUCAUUUGAAAUUUUUGUGACUGUUAUUUCUAUGCCUCUUUUUUGCACUGAACUAAAUUGUAAAUGGCAACUAUUUGCACUUUUUGAACCAUACAAUUGAAUGUAUAAAUGUACUGUAAAGCAUGAUUUAUUUGAAAGAUAAAGCUUGUAACUGUCAAAUGGUUAGUUGACAAUACCAUUAUUAUAAGCACCCCAGUUCUCACUGAUCCCUCUAAAAAUGCAAUAUUUCUGUUUCUUUGUAAGUACCUACUUUUAAUCACCUUGACCCAAGUUAUUUUUAUAUAUGUGACUUUCGGGAAGAUGUUUGGCAUUUAUUGUACUGUGUCUUUACUAAAUUGGUAAGAACAUACCUUUAAGCUACUAACAGGACAAGCUCAUGAUAUACAGUAUAUAUAUUAUAUAUUAUAUUGCAUGUUUAUAUUUAAUAUUUAAUAGCACCUCCUGUAUUAUUAAGUUUUAAAUAAAUAAGAAGAUAAGAAUAAUUGAAUGUGUGUGUGAUUUUUUUUAUUACUUUUAUUACUUAUUAUUUUAUUUAUUACUUUAUUACUUUUUAUUACAUAACAAUUUAUUGGACUAUAUAUACAUAACUAUUACUACAUUUUAUAUACACAUUGUUUAUUUGUAUAUUUGUAGAUAUUCAACAGAAUUAGAUAAUAAAUCAAUACUCUGUGCUUAUUUUUCUUACUUUACUUUACGGAUACCCAUAUGGAUACCACAUACCCAAAACAUACUAGGGAGUGCAUAAUUUUUUCAUUUUUUGGUUUGUUUGUUUUUUUUGCUCUUUUUAAAAUUCUUUAUAAAACACAAUGUCAUCGGAUUUGAUUUAAGGUCCAGAUUUUUCCUUGGGAUUUAAUGUUGCAGUCACAUGCUGCUGUUCAACCAUUUAGAAACAUCUCAUUAUAUUUAAUACAUUACACUGGGUUAUAUGUUGUAGAUGUAGAUCUUGUGGCUCGAGCAUGCUCCCCUCCAGCUACAGGACUUUACAGGACUACCUGGAGACCUUCACUCUGUCUGUCCUUUUCUACUCUAAGUGGUGUGUAGUGAAUGUGACAGUGACCAAAACCACCUGAGUUCUUCCUAACCGGAAACCCUGGAAGACGAAUGAAGAACAGGCUCUGAUCAGAACUCGAAACACAGCCUUCAGGCUGGGGGACAGUUCUCUGGAGAGCACUGCCAGAGCCAACCCGAGGAGGGGCAUCAAACAAGCCAAGGAGACCUCCAGGAGAAGGAUUAAGGGCUUCCAGACAGACAACCACCGCCAAGUGUAGAGAGGCAGUCAAGCCCUCACCAAC
ensembl:lncRNA